UCUUCGCCCUGGCUCUUCUUUGCCUUUGUUCGUCUUCAUCGUAGCUUCUGCCACCGCAGUUCCUCUUGUCACCGCCAUAUCUCUUCCUCAACGAAGGGCAGCAAUACUCUAUUUUCGCUUCUCAUAAACCCAUAGUGCUAUCGCAAAGUUUUUUAUGCUAAGGAAGUGUCAACUUGGUAGGAAGUGUCAACUUUCUCUUGCCAGAUUUCUUCACAUAAUUGAGGCUCUUGCAGAUGAGGGCUAUAAAAGAAGAACUUGGUGAUAAUGAGGAUGAUGAGGAUGACCUGGUUGCCCUUGAAAGGAAGAUGCAGAAGGCAGGAAUGCCACCAAAUGUAUGGAAACAUGCACACAUAUAGUUGAGGAGGCUUAAAAAAAUGCAGCCUCAACAACCUGGGUAUAACAGUUCGCGGAUUUACCUUGAUCUUCUUGCCGAUCUCCCCUGGCAGAAGGCCAACGAAGAGAUUGAAAUGGACUUAAGAGCUGCACAAAAGCGACUGGACAGUGAUCACUAUGGUUUAGUGAAGGUCAAGAGAGAAUUAUUG